AUUGUACGCUGGCGGCAUGCCUUACACAUGCAAGUCGAACGGCAGCACGGGUGCUUGCACCUGGUGGCGAGUGGCGAACGGGUGAGUAAUACAUCGGAACGUACCUUAUCGUGGGGGAUAACGCAGCGAAAGUUGCGCUAAUACCGCAUACGCCCUGAGGGGGAAAGCGGGGGACCGUAAGGCCUCGCGCGAUUAGAGCGGCUGAUGUCUGAUUAGCUUGUUGGUGAGGUAAAAGCUCACCAAGGCGAUGAUCAGUAGCUGGUCCGAGAGGGCGAUCAGCCACACUGGGACUGAGACACGGCCCAGACUCCUACGGGAGGCAGCAGUGGGGAAUUUUGGACAAUGGGGGCAACCCUGAUCCAGCAAUGCCGCGUGAGUGAAGAAGGCCUUCGGGUUGUAAAGCUCUUUUGUCAGGGAAGAAACAGCAGCUCUAACACAGUCUGCGAAUGACGGUACCUGAAGAAUAAGCACCGGCUAACUACGUGCCAGCCGCCGCAGUAA
rnacentral:rRNA from 1 species